rnacentral:lncRNA from 1 species
GUUUUUAGUCAAUUGUUUGCCUGACGGCGGCCUUAGAUCUACAAUUUUUUCUUCAUUAUAUUGCAUAAUCAACCACUCGACAGAAUUUCAACUAAUAUAAUGGAAUCGGAAUUUGCUGGUCUCACGAUCAAUGAAGAGGAAUACACGAUUCUUCAAGUGCAAAUCGAGUCAAAUCCAGACACAGAAGCAGGGGCCUUUCGAUUAGUGGGUUGUUU